rnacentral:rRNA from 1 species
CGCGGCCUAUCAGCUUGUUGGUGAGGUAACGGCUCACCAAGGCAUUGACGGGUAGCUAGUCUGAGAGGACGAAUAGCCACACUGGGACUGAGACACGGCCCAGACUCCUACGGGAGGCAGCAGUGGGGAAUCUUGCACAAUGGGCGAAAGCCUGAUGCAGCGACGCCGCGUGGGGGAUGAAGGCCCUAGGGUCGUAAACCCCUUUCAGUGGGGACGAAACUGACGGUACCCACAGAAGAAGGUCCGGCCAACUACGCGCCAGCAGCCGCGGUAAGACGUAGGGACCGAGCGUUGUCCGGAUUUAUUGGGCGUAAAGAGCUCGUAGGCGGUUGCGUAAGUCGGAUGUGAAAACUCGGGGCUCAACCCCGAGACGCCAUCCGAUACUGCGCUGACUUGAAUCCAGUAGGGGAGUGUGGAAUUUGUUGUGUAGCGGUGAAGUGCGCAGAUAUAACAAGGAACACCUAUGGCGAAGGCAGCACUCUGGGCUGGUAUUGACGCUGAGGAGCGAAAGCAUGGGUAGCAAACAGGAUUAGAUACCCUGGUAGUCCAUGCCGUAAACGGUGGGCACUAGGUGUGGGGACUUUCAACGGUUUCCGUGCCGAAGCUAACGCAUUAAGUGCCCCGCCUGGGGAGUACGG